rnacentral:rRNA from 1 species
GAUGAACGCUAGCGAUAGGCUUAACACAUGCCAGUCGAGGGGUAACGUGUUGGAAGCUUGCUUCCGAUGACGACGACCGGCGGAUGGGUGCGUAACGCGUAUGCAACUUGCCUCACAGUGGAGAAUAACCCGGAGAAAUCCGGACUAAUACUCCAUACACUCUUAAGUACGCCUGUACAUGAGAGGAAAGAUUUAUCGCUGUGAGAUAGGCAUGCGUCCUAUUAGGUAGUUGGUGAGGUAACGGCUCACCAAGCCGACGAUAGGUAGGGGUGCUGAGAGGCAGAUCCCCCACAUUGGGACUGAGACACGGCCCAAACUCCUACGGGAGGCAGCAGUGAGGAAUAUUGGUCAAUGGAGGAAACUCUGAACCAGCCAAGUCGCGUGAAGGAAGAAUGUCCUAAGGAUUGUAAACUUCUUUAGCGAGCGAGUAAGGACUUCCACGUGAUGGGAGUUUGAAAGUAGCUCGAGAAUAAGUAUCGGCUAACUCCGUG